AUAAAAACAAAACAAGGAAACGGACUUUUUUUAACAACGAAAAAACAGAGUACAAGACAACACAAGAAACAUUGCCCUUCUUCAGCUGCCCCUGUUUCGACUCCUUGCGUACGCUAUCUAAAUAUGAGCUAUUUAUAGUGUCAUGUUAUGAAAACACAAUUCGGCAGAUUUCCAUAUUAUGCCUUCAGUCUCCAAGAAAUCCUUCAUACAUGCAUAAAUAUAUACAUACACACAUACAUACCUACAUACUAUGUGUGUGUGUGUAUUUAUAUACAUACAUGCAUAUGUAUACAAGCACACACACGUGUGCGUAUAUAAACUAAAACAGGAUCCAAGGAGAUCCGGGAAAGGUGUGUAGCUAUCUCCCCACCUAACCCAAAUUUUCUUCCCUACUACUUCCUGUCUAUCUGUGCAACUUCCUGUUGUUUUGAGUUCCCAAUCAGUCGGUGCCAGUUUCUCAAAUGUAGAGGAGAGAUAUAUAAAAUAGCAUAGGAAACAUAAUGAUAUAUCACGUGAUCACGUGACUGACUAGACUAUCAGAUGUUGUUACACAUCGCUGGUCACAAUGCGCUUUGCAUCUGGGUUGACUGCGCUAAGCACCAACAACAAAAGCAUAGCAGCAACAACACAGCAUGCUAAAGGCCAAUGAGUGAAUCUCUGUUUAGUUGCAUGACCUGCUAAAAAUAACAGCCAAUUCUCUCACAAAUCAGAUCCAACUGUUAAAAAUGAUAAGGUCAUAUUGGCUGAUGCAGUUUGACACAGCUAGUCUGAGUUGAGUAUAGUUAUCCUUGAAAAAAAACGAGAUUGUCACAGUUAAAAUGCUUUAAAAAUACAUCUGCUUGAUCUGGACAAACCUGGGGCUAUAAAAAUCAUGCAAGUCAAACUAAAAUUCCAUGCUAAAAAAAUAAUACAAUUUCCUUUGUUGUAGCGAAGAUCAAAAACCAAUCGGAAAUGGAAGUCAUUGAACAGUUAAUGGUUUGAAAUGUUUUGCUGACGUCGAUACGUCGAUGACAUUUAGAACGGUUCAUUUAAGUAGUCAUGUGAUGUUUGUACAAGCGGUGCGGUGCAGUAUUUGAGUUGUCAAAAUACUCGUUGUAUAAGGACAAUGAGCGUAUUGUCGUGUUUAUGAGAGGUGUGGAUGUAAAGUGUAGGUUCCAAAAUUUAUUGUAGACAAAGGCUUGUGUGUGUUGCUGUACAGAUAAAUCGUGUGGUUGUCGAGUGUGGUUCUCUGAAUACUUAUCAUUAAAGGUAAUACUUAUCCCCACUUAAACGUGGAUGAUCUGUUUGAGCAAACUAUACUCCGGCAGUAACCAUGAGAGAAACUCAUGUGGUUUGAGAAACUCAUAUAAGGUGGCGAUCUGGCGGAAACGUUAGCACGCCGGGCAAAAUGCUUAAUUCCGCCGAGGUCGACUUUGCCUUUCAUCCUUUCGGGGUCGAUAAAUUAAGUACCAGUUAAGCACUGGGGUCGAUAUAAUCGACUUAAUACCUAUGUCUGUCCAUGUUUGUCCCCUCUGUGUUUAGCCCCUUGUGGGUAAUAAAGAAAUAGGUAUUUCGUCUGCCGUUAUGUUCUGAGUUCAAAUUCUGCCGAGGUCGACUUUGCCUUUCAUCCUCUCAGGGUCGAUAAAUUAAGUACCAGUUACGCACUGGGUCGAUAUAAUCGACUUAAUCCGUUUUUCUGUCCUUGUCUGUCCUCUCUGUGUUUAGCCCCUUGUGGGUAGUAAAGAAACAGUUCCACAACCAUAGGAUGAAUUUGAUCAGAUAAAAUGCUUAAAUAGUCUUGACUAUUAUUUCUGCCAUGAAGGGAAACCACUAGGCAGGCGGAUUUCCAAGAUAUAGCCCCCACCCCAGAUCAUCACAGAUCUUCCUUCAUGUUUAACAGUUGGAAGAAGGCCGUCUGGGUCAAAUGCUUCUUUUGGCUGUCUCCACACGUACACUCGCCCGGUGGUCGGAAAUAAGGUAAAGGAUAACUCCUCCGAGAAAAUAACAUUCUUCCAUUGCUUUAGGGACCAAUCCUGUGGGUUUUUACUCCACUCUCAAUGCUUUGCAACGUUUGUUUUUGAAAGUAGUGGUUUUCUGAUUGCAGCCCUCCCGUGAAAUCCGGCUUUGUGUAGCUCCUGGCGAACAGUUUUUGUGGAAACUGGCUCCUUGAGGUAGUCAUUAAGCUUUUGUGAUCUUUUUUAACAAUUCGCGUAAGAGUCCGACGGUCCCUAUCUGAAAGUUUUGGUUUUCUUCCGAAGUUUUGUUUCGACGAGGAGGUUUUUCCCUUUCUCAAAGGCUGUCAUUACUUUCGAGACAGUACUUCUUGAUACACGAAACAUUUCGGCUGUUUUCGUUACGCUAGCACCUGCCAUACGAGCACCAACAAUUUGACCUCUUUGAAAGUCCGAUAGAUAUGUCAUUUUAUUGAAUUUUAAUUACUUUUUUCUGAUGAUAUCUAAAAAAAACAGCAAGUUUGGCAAAACAUAUUAAGCAACACUAAUAAUAAAUCAAAAACAUAAAAAUAAACAAGCUUUUGACGGUUUUAUAGAUAUUUCAAAAUUAUGAUGCUAUGAUGCUAGGUGUUUCCAUUAUUUUGUCCAAACCCUGUGUGUAUGUAUGUAUAUAUAUAUAUAUAUAUAUAUAUAUAUAUAUAUAUAUAUAUAUAUAUAUAUAUAUAUAUAUAUAUAUAUAUAUAUAUAUAUAUAUAUAUAUAUAUAUAUACAUAUAAUAUGUAUAUAUAUGUGAGAUUGACUGUAUACAUGUAUGUACAUAUAAGGGUUACAGAUGUAUAUGAUACAUAUUGUUACGACCGUCGCUCAACUCGACUCAGAACCCUAAGUCGAGCGACGACGACUACGCUCAGUCAAAUGGAAAUCCACCACAGAAAGCGGGAGUGGAAAGCGAACGCAAACCAGUAACCGGAGACGACAACAACAACAGGAGAGAGAGUCAGCGGAAGGCAUUUGCUUACAUUUAACAACACAAUUCAUAUAAUUUUACAACAUCAAUUAAACGUAAUACAUUUCAAAUACAUUUCAAAUACAUUUAAAAACAAAAGCAUUUAACAAUUCAUAACUUUACAAAAUCAAUCAAAUGUAAUACACAAAUCGACUUUUCCAAAACAAUCAACUAGUUUACAUGCAACACAAUACAGAAUCAAACAAAGUCUUUCUCUUUUCUUUUCUCCUCCUUCUCUUCUUACGCAGAGAGUUCGUUCUCAAUUUUCUUUAAACAUUUACAAGUUCUUUUUUUUCUUAAACAGAUUACACAUUCUUUUUACAGAGUCUCUUUUUGUUUUUUCAUACAUCAUAAUUCAACAUUAAAGUCCAAAGCACAAAUCAAAACAUGAACAACAAUACCGGCAACACUUCCUGAACAUCACAACUCCCACUAUAAGUAGUCCAGCUUCUUCGCUGUCAUCUUCUUCUCUACCUCUCGCCUGUCAAUUCCCAAUCUUCUCUGCCUGUCUUCCUCGCCUCUUGCCAACUGUCAUCUCCUCGUUGGCCGUCUGCAUCGACUCGCUGUCCCAACCGAACUCUUUUCCGGCCCUUCACUGUCUGAUCUCCCUAACACCAGUUCGUCGCAUUUUAAUGGGUGGCAUUCCCAUUUUUUUUCUAACUUUCCCUGACCGUGUAAGGGUCAGAGGUACUUCCUAAACUCAUUAAUCUUAACCUUGCUGUUGACAAGACAAAGAACCAUUACUUUUUUCCCUCGCCGGUUCGACUCCAACCAACGGAACUAGGGCAUAGCGUUUUCCCGUUUAUUCCUCUCCGUAACAAUAUUCUUUUGGGUUUUCACAGUUGUUGUUGAUGCUACUACAAUUGGCGAAAUCAUUAUUACUGUUGUUCUUGUUCUUGUUUACCGCAGUUUUAUUUGUUUGUUGUUGUUGUUGCUGCUGCUACUGCUGUUGUUGUUGUUGUUGUUGUUGUUGUUGCUGUUGUCAUUGUUACGGUCCUUGUCAUUGAUGAUGGCGUUAUUGUUGAUGUUACUAUAGUAUUUUCCUCUGAUUUUCGAUGCUGAUACUUAUCCGUCAUCACCAUCAUGGCCACCACCGUAACAACCAUCUCCAACACUACUACUUCCAUCACAGCCACCUCCACCAACACCACUACUACACUUACUACCACUACCACCACUACCACCACUACCACCACUACCACCAUCAACAUCACCGCAAUUACCACCACAACCAACACCACCACAACCAACACCACCACGACCAAUACCAACACCACCACGAUCAAUACCAACACAGCCAACACCACCACAACCACCACUAGCACAACCUCCAAUCAACUACCAUUCAUAAUACUCGUUCUUGUAAAUGAAUCUCAACACAGAUUUUUAUUUCAUUAUUUAUUUAAUUACUUAAUCAUUUAUUUAUUUAUUUAUUUAUUUCCAAUAAUUUCUCUUAUAGGAAAUUAAUACCUUGUUUCAGGACAGCUGUUGACGAGAUGUUUGUGUGUGUGUGUGUGUGUGUGUGUGUGUGUGUGUGUGUGUGUGUGUGUGUGUGUGUGUGUGUGUGUGUGUGUGUGUGUUUGAACGCGUUUGUGAGUGAGUUUUGUGUGUACGUGCGAGGCGUACACUAUCGAUAUUUUUCGUUUUAUCUUCGAAACUUAGUGGCUUCUUUAUCUCUUUCUAUGUAACAAGACACCCAAAGUUUCUAGGAUAUAUACUUCGAGAUUAUACGUAGAUGACCAUUGAUCCACGAGGAGAGAUAGACAUCUUAUCGCUGUGUUAAUAUCAUUUUACAUAUUACGACAAACACACGCAUGCGUAAAGUUUAUAUACAUCUGUUAUGUAAGUUGAAUAUGGUAGAUUUAUAUAAUCAAUUACUAACUUACAAAAUAUCAGAAAUGCUUCUAUGUAGUUGCUCGAUGUACAAUGAAUAGUAGCCAAAACUCCCUCAGAUCACACUCAUACGCUGUCUUGAAAAGCAAGAAACAGACAGAUUCAAUGAACAAUGUAGUCACUAAUAUGAAAGAGACGUGAGAGUCAUGGUAGGUCUACUUUCGACCAAAGAUUUGCUGCUGUUGCUUUAUCAGGUUUGGCGUGAAGUUAAACAACAUCAGAGUAACAAAAGAAAAUUUAUCCAAGGAAACAUACGAUGCAAGUCAUAGCUCUGUUGCCAUAUGAUGGCACAAACAGGGGAAUCAGAACAGUUAAAACUGCUUCGACAAGUACUCGUAGAAACAAAUGUAUCAGAGCUAAUAAGUGAUUUAGCCUUAGCAGAAUUUGAACCCGGAAUGUAAAGGGCCAGAAGAAAUAUCUCAAAGGAUUUUUCCAACACUUCAACAAUUCUGCCAAAUUGCUGCCUGAAUAAUAAUCUUUUCUAUUCUAGGCACAAGGCCCUAGAUUUGGGAGGAGGAUGAAAGGCAAAGUCGACCUCGGCGAAAUUUUAAAUCAGAACGUAAAGACAGACGAAAUACUACUAAGCCUUUCACCCGGCGUUCUAACGUUUCUUAUUUCUUUAUUGCCCACAAGGGGCUAAACAUAGAGGGGACAAACAAGGACAAAGUUUUUUGAGUUCAAAUUCCACCGAGGUCGACUUUGCCUUUCAUCCUUUCGGGGUCGAUUAAAUAAGUACCAGUUACGUACUGUGUCGAUAUAAUCAACUUAAUCCAUUUGUCUGUCCUUGUUUGUCUUCUCUGUGUUUAGCCCCUUGUGGGUAGUAAAGAAAUAGGUAUUUCGUCUGCCGUUACGUUCUGAGUUCAAAUCCCGCCAAGGUCGACUUUGCAUUUCAGCCUUUCUGGGUCGAUAAAUUAAGUACCAGUUGAGUACUGGGGUCGAUGUAAUCGACUUAAUCCCUCCCCCAAAUUUCAGGCCUUGUGCCAAGAGUAGAAAUGUUUAUUAGUAGGCAACGAGCUGGCAGAAUCGUUAGCACGCCGGUUGAAAUGCUUAGCGGCAUUUCGUCUGGCUUUACGUUCUGGGUUCGAAUUCUGUCAAGGUCUUUCAUCCUUUCGCAUAAAAUAAGCACCAGUUGAGCACUGGUGUCGAACUGAGUUUUGUCAUCCAAAAUUUCAGGCCAUAUGCUGUCAGAAUUGCUAAAGCGUCAGAAAAAAUGUUUUAAAGCAUUUCUUCUGGCUCUACGUUCUGAAUUCAAAUUCUAUCAAGGUCAACUUUCACUUUCAUCCCUGUGAGAGGGAUGGUGGUCAAUAAAAGCACCAAGUAAAUACUGGAUGUGAUUGUGUUGACUUAGUCCUCCCCUAAAAUCUGCUUCCCUCGUGCCUAAAGCAGCUGGAGAGAUAUUCUGUAGGGAACAACUCUCCUUUCACACACAUGCGCGCGCACUCACACACACACACACACACACACACACACUCACAUACACACAGUUCCUUGCUUCGUAUUGAUUGUGUUUUUCUGUGUGUGUGUUACAUAUUUAUAUAAUACUUUGCUGCGGUGUAUCGUAAAUCUUUUUCCCAAGCCAUUCAUUCUUGCUGGGAAAGCGAUUUUCUGUUGUAGAACCAUUUAUCAAUUAAUAAAAAAAAACAUAGGAUGCAUGCAUGCAUGUAUGUAUGUAUGUAUGUAUGCAUGUAUGUAUGUAUGUAUGUAUGUAUGUAUAUAUGUAUGUAUGUAUGUAUGUAUGUAUGUAUGUAUGUAUGUAUAUUUAGGCGCAGGAGUAGCUGUGUGGUAAGUAGCUUCCUUAGCAACCUUACCAACCACAUGGUUCCGGGUUCAGUCCCACUGCGUGACACCUUGGGCAAGUAUCUUCUACUAUAGCCUCGGGCCGACCAAAGCCUUGUGAGUGGAUUUGGUAGACGAAAACUGAAAGAAGCCCGUCGUAUAUAUGUGUGUGUGUGUGUAUUUUUGUGUGUCUGUGAUUGUCCCCUCCCAACAUCGCUUAACAACCGAUGCUGGUGUGGUUACGUCCCCGUAACUUAGCGGUUCGGCAAAAGAAACCGAGGCUUACAAAGAAUAAGUCCUGGGGUAGAUUUGCUCGACUAAAGGCGGUGCUCCAGCAUGGUCACAGUCAAAUGACUGAAACAAGUAAAAGUAAAAGAAUAGAUAGAUAGAUCGAUAGAUAGAUAGAUAGAUAGAUAGAUAGAUAGAUAGAUAGAUAGAUAGAUAGAUAGAUAGAUAGAUAGAUAGAUAGAUAGAUAGAUAGAUAGAUAGAUAGAUAGAUAGAUAGAUAGAUAGAUCUGCAUAACUAACUCCAAGCAUUGAGUUCUUCCUUGAAAAAGUUGAGUAACGAUUAGAUAAAUUUUUAUCUGAUAAACUAGAUGGACCCACAUCAUUGUAAGAAACGCAAAGAAGGUCAGCCUUAUCGUACUCACUAUUCCAUCAUGAACAAUUCCGGAGACAGAGCCGGUAAAUGAGCCUAAGAUAUGCAAGCAUUAAUACUAAUGGUAGUGCCCCAGUGUGGCCACAGCCUCUGGCUUAGAUCAUUAGUAGAAGAAUAGAAUAAACUUUUAAAUACGUAUUCUGCAAGCAGGGAAUGUUUGCAUGGAGAACAGUAAGAAAUGCUGCAACAAAUUUCAGUAAGAAACAUAAUCACAAAUUCCAGUAAAAUUGCUGACGUAGAUUUAUAAAUUCAAAAUGAGACAAAGUUAGGUUUAUCUGUAGUUGAGUGGCGAGGUAAAACUCCAAAUUCAGCAGAGGAAAUCAAAUUAUGCGAGCAUAAAUAAUCCAAAAUUUUAUCAUUGACUAAACGCUCCAACAGUUUAACAACGCAUGAAUUGAGAGCGAUCUAAAGCUAUCAGAAUCAAAUUUACUACCUUUAAUUUUGUCGAUUGGUGCAACAGCGACAGACUUUCAGUCUGUAGAAGACAUACCUUUAUUAAUUGAUUGAUGGAAGAGCUAAAACAAAGGUGUGGAGAAAGAGAGAACUACAGCAACCACGUAGAACAGAGUUCUGAAUUUCGUCUGGCCCGGUGGAUUUAAUGCAAUCUAGCGAGCAUAAUAAAGUUACCUCGGCAUUCUGAAGUUUGUAAGUCCUGGAAAUGACGCAGAUUUGUUGUUACCGGCCUUGAAAGCAAAAUACUCAUUAAAUAGAUUAUUCUUGGUGUGUGGAAUUGUGGUGAUAAUAUUAUGAAAUAACUGCAGAAUCUUAACAGUAACUUUCUCACCAACGUACAGAUAUUUAGAUAAGUUGCGCCAAUUUUUAGAAAUUAUUUUAUUCUGUCAAAUCCGUUGUGCUGCCAAUAAAAAAAAAUGAAUAGAUUUAUCAAGUUUAAUCUAAUCAUGAAGCUGUUUGCUCGUUUUGGCAAAGACAGAAUAGAAACUAUCCAAGUUAUCAGAAAUAUAUACUGUCUCUCACUUCUCGCCCCUUUGUCAGUUUUCAGUUUGGUAAAAAAAAAAAAAUAUCUAUAAUUCCAAACUGAUUUCACUUAUUGACUAGGAAUGACAUCUGGGCAUAUCAAAAUAAAUUGUUUUGAACUUACUCCAAUUUGAAAUGCGCAUUUUCAACAGAACCAAAUAUAUUCUAUUCAAUAUAGAAGAGCGAACUCUUUAUAGCAAUCCAAUCAUUGACUUUUAAGAAUUUUGUGUCAGAAGACAAGUCAGUAAUUGAAUUGUAUUGUGUAGAUAAGCUAAAAAUAAUUACAGUAUGAUCAGAGGUACCGAUUGGAGGAUCAGCAAACACUAGCAAAAUAUAGUCAGCUGUGUUAGUGAUAACAAAAUCGAGCGAUGAACUUGUCUUGCUACAUGACUCUGUUGGAAGAGUUGUAAUUUAUGUUAGAUCGUUAUCAUUUAGAGAUUCAUUCAUUUGAGUCCCAGCUGAAUUGGCGAUGUUACAAAAUAACCACGAGGGAAAACAAGCAUCAAAAGGAUCUUACAGUAUCAGGGUUCGAUUCAAAAGUAUAUGAAAGGAAAUUUUCAUACUAUAUCUAACUUAGAAUUUGAAAGCUAAUAAUGAGAAUACUAAGUAAAAGUUAUUGAAGUUAUUGUAGUCAGGAAGGAAGCAACUAAUUUCAAGAGCAAAAUUACGUUUAAUGUUGAGACAGAGUUUAGUAAACGAUCGAAUCUCUUCAUGAUUACUACGGUCUUUGCGAAAUAUAGAAAAUCAAAUCCAGUCAUUGAAACGGCAGAGACCGGUAUAGAAUAAGUAAAAAGUUGAUACAGAAAGAUAACUUGGAAGAUAGAUUAUGUCAGAAUACAUAAUUGAAACUCAUCAAACUGGCUAAUUGGUUUGUGCUAAUUAAAUCAAUGUUGGUUACUGAAUUAAUCUGAAUUUCAGCAAUUAAGAUUUUUUCUAAUAAGACACCCAGUGAAGGUUGCUCGGUAAGCGCAAUUGGUGAUAUGACAUUUUGUUCCUUUGAUAAGUGCUAUGUGGUAGGUGAUUUUUCUGAGCAGAGCGGAAAACUAACGCCAUGAUUGUAGCGCUGACAACGAUAACAUUGGCCAGCGUGGGUAGCCAACUAGGAUUUUGCAUGUUAACACAUUUAAUACGAUAUGUACCUAAUGUAAACGGAAUCCGGGAAUCUUUUAAUUCGAGUUAAAACAUUCUGGAUCCGGGAGGCAAGCAUUUCUCCGAUUUCAGUCUCUUGAGGAUCCAGUUAACACUUCAGCCUUAACAGUUUCAAUUUGCUUUCCGCUCGCCAAUUCGUGAAUGACGGAAUAAUCUAAUAUUUCUAAUAUUUUGUAGAACAGUAUUGAGCAUAUGACAUAUAGUUACAUCCUGACCAAAAACAUUGGCCAGUAUGGCUUACAAUAAGAAGCAGCACGAGAAUAGUUUCUGAAAUGCUGUGCUGAGCGAUUAAUAAAUAAGAGAACUUAUUUGUGAGCAUUCAUAGCAAUAGCUGACAUCACGUUAUCUGGAGAAACCGUGAUUGCUUCUACAUUUGAUUUGAUAUGCCUCACAACCUUGGCAAUUUUGAAGGUAGAGUUUAGGGCAAUCAGAGACUGGGAGUUAUAUUGUAUAUUUCAAUAAAUCUCCUGAGAAAAGACUGAGAUUGUGACUUGUUAUACGUGGAAAGCAGUAAGGGAAAAUAAACAAACCUCAGUUCAAAUAUAUCUGCAACACUUCAACUUGCAUAGGCUAUUACACUGCAGUUUACAGCGUAGAAAACAUUCUCGCUCUAGGUGUAAGAAUACCCUUGUCAGUUUAAAGCGCCAUCUUUGGAAUAAUAGAUGCAUUUCGAGCUUACUGAAACAAGCUAAAAGUGUAUCUUUCAGUCCACAGAGGGCGCUUUAAAUUGACAAUGCUGUUCUUACGCCUUUUUAUCUAUCGAGACAAAGGAGCAAAAAGCAGAUAGAUAGAUAGAUAGAUAGAUAGAUAGAUAGAUAGAUAGAUAGAUAGAUAGAUAGAUAGAUAGAUAGAUAGAUAAUGUUAAAGGCUACAAAUCUACAUUUGUUAGUCUCCCAUGGGAAGUUAUGCAUUGAUUUUCUAGAAAUCACAUGACUGUGAUUUCUAGUAGGUACAUCCGGUAUCAGUUCCUUGUCUGGCUUAUACUUAUACUGUUAACCUCCUGAUGGUGUGCUGUCUGAAACAUACGAACUUCUUCAAUACACACCUGAAAAUUAAUAAUUGAGCAUUAAGUAGUUCAAUCAAAUAAUUAAGCAACAGCUGUUAUAUAACCACUAAACUUUGCUAAAACUAUGACAAAAUACUCUUGGUGUUUUUAUAAAACUUACAAGGAGCAACACUUUAGCUCUCUUAUGCCAACCAACAUAUGCGGUAUAAAGAAGGCUUCAUGCGUUUGUAUUUGUAUAUGUAUGUGUGAAUGUGUAUGUGACACAGAGAGCGAAUGAGAAAGAGAGUGAGAGGGAGCGUGUGUGUGUGUGUGUGUGCGUGUGUGUUGUAUGUGUAUGUGUGUGAAGUGUGCAUGUGCGCGCGUGGGUGGGGGUAAAUUACAUUAGAUAGACUGUCGUUCAAUACUUAACGUAGCGACGACAACCAGAAAACAGAUGUGUUUAUAGAGUGUAUGUGUGUAUAUGUGUAUAUGUAUGUGUGUAUGCGUGGGAUUGCUCACGUCUGUAAAUGCGUUUUGUAUGUGUGCGAAGAAGCUCACGUGUGUAUGUGUUGGUGGUUGCAAGUGUAUGUGUGCGUGUGUGUGUGAGAGAGUGUUGCACAUGUGUGUGUUGUGUGUUUGUGCGUGUGAAUGGGCAUGUGUGUUCGUGUGUGCUUGUGUGCGUGCGUGUGUCUAUUCACUUCUAUGAAUGACUACCUCUAUGUGUGCGUGGGAGUUCACAUAGGUGUGUACACAUGUGCGUGUGCACGCCACCAUCUGUGCAAACAGUGCAAAUGGGCAUUAGCACCAGCGGUGGCUCGUAGAUAAAAUUAGUGGGGGUGCUACUUCAGAAAAUUUUUAGCCGUUGUUUUAAUAUUGUGCAAAAGGAAACAAACAUGUAAAAAAAAAUUAUAUAUAAACUUGAUCGGUUUGGGUAGAGCGUUUAAUUUAUUCAAUGAACACCGCCGCGAAUUCCUCCAUGUUUUUCAAAAAUCCCCCUAAAUCACAAAAUAAGAGAAAAACUGUCCUAUUUUUCGAAACCUGGCAGCCACACUGUAGCUGGAAGCAGGAUAAUAAUCUAAUUCUACACUUUAUCACAUUCAAGAAUAUAAACACAUUUUUAAGCACAACACACGCAGAGUCAAAAAGAAACACUGCCUUUCACCAGCACACCAGGGUCGGCACUGCGUGAACCACAGUGCUCUCUCUCCUUAGCGUGCAGCUUCCUAUCUCGGACAUAUGAGCAUGCGCACAACAGGCAAACACCGCGUCGCUGGAACUGUGGAGCGCACAGUUCUAUACAUGGAUUUUUGUAUUUUUUUCAUAAACUAGGGGAUGGUUACUGACAUUAAGAUUAAGGCUUAUAUAAUGUACAAGUAUAAAGAAAGAAUUAAAGAAAAAAGGGCUCGUUAUAUUGAAUGUUAACGAUAAUAUCGAGUGGAAAUAGGGGGUGCUGCAGUUCUGCAGUGCCUAUACACAUUUAUAUAUGAGUAUAUGUAUACGCGUGCGAGUGUGCGCACACCAGUCUGUGUGUAUCUAUGUAUGCGUGGAUAUGUGCAAGUUACAUACACUUCUGUGUAUCUGCGUAUGUGUUUGUAUGCGUGUGCACUGACAUCCGUAUCAAAGUCUGUAUGUAUGUGUUUGCUGUUGCUGUUGUUGUUGUUGUUGUUAAGCUCAAAGAAUAUCGUGAUCAGGUUGUUCUACGGCCAGAGACAUUCCUUCCAUGACCAUCCUAUCUGCUUUGAACUAUAGUGCUUCAAGGACUACUGUAUGUUCACAGACGCAGCUAUUUUUAUGUAAGGGAUUAUUGGGGGAAAUUUGGCUGCUAUUUCUAGCAAACUGAGUGACUAUGUAGAUGCAUCUUCGUUGCCACAGGAAUGGGUUGUGUGUGUAUGUGUGUAUGUAUAUGUGUAUGCAUCUAUGUGCACGCGUGUAUGCGUGAGUGCUGCUUAUGGUGUUAACCAUGUCAUUACUCGUAAAGUAAUUUUGCGAUUUGCUCAUCGAUAAUCGAUAACACACAUGCGUAAUCGCGUAAAUAUGGUUGUUGUUGUUGUUGCUGUUGUUGUUACUGCUGUUGUUGUUACUGCUGUUGUUGUUGUUGUUAUUGCUGUUAUCGUCGUUGAUAUUGUCAUUGUUCUUUAGUCCUUGGUCAACCCUACACUGAGCAGAAUAAUGAUGAAAGGCGUUCCUAUCAUGACCGUCCCGUCUGUUUUUUUUGUUUUUUUUUUACAUUGCAAGUUUAAGACUACAAUAGUAAAACACCAGCGCCAUCCUUUUCAAAAACGAUAUAGUGUUGUUUUAGUAGAUUUGGCUGCUAUUUCUCAUAGGUCACGAUUUGAGCCAAUGACCUAGAAACUCCUUCGUACACACCUUUUGUUAUUUGCUGCCAUGACUACUACUCCGUUGCUGCUGCUGGUGCUGAUGCUGAUGCUGCUGCACUACUGCUGCUGAGAGUAUCCAUGUUGUUACUUGAUCCGCUAGAAAUAACAAUGAAGUUUCUUCCAUUCCCUUAACUACACACUACCGCUUUUAAAAAGAACACGGAUAAAGCAGUCCUGGCUUCCCAGGUAUAUUGGGGGAAAAAAACAAGACAGGGUGGUCACGGCGGGAAUAACAUUCGUCAUAGGUCUACUCGAUUGGGACUGACCUGGAGUUAAACAACAACAACAACAACAACAACAACAACAAUAACUAAUCCACUUUUACUUAUGUUUACAGGUUUAGCAGCUGAAGAGACAUUCUGUAGGGAACAAUUCUCCUUUCACACACAUGUGCGCAUACUCACACACACACACACACACACACACACACACACACACACACACACACACACAUACACACAGUUCCUUGCUUCGUAUUGAUUGUGUUUUUCUGUGUGUGUGUUACAUAUUUAUAUAAUACUUUGCUGCAGUGUAUCGUAAAUCUUUUUCCCAAGCCAUUCAUUCUUGCUGGGAAGCGAUUUUCUGUUGUAGAACCGUUUAUUACUUCAUCUUCGAUUAUAAUUCCAUUCGCAAUGCAUUACAGGGUUGCAAACCAACCUAUGUUCUUAACUGCUACUUUAUUUUAUCGAUCUCCAAAAUUAUGAAAUGAAAUGCAAUUGUGAUCUUGUUUUUAUUAUUUAUUUGAUGUUUUAAUAAGGAGUGAAGGCAUUGCUUAUGGCCCUUUGCAAGGCUUCCCAGAAUCGAGGGAGAGAGAGAAAGGGGGAGGGCGAAGGUAUCGUCAAAGCGAAGACUUUACCAGAAUGCUUACAACUGAGGGGCUUCCGUUAAAGCUGCCUAAUGUAUUAAGUGGAGGUGUUAAACCUGGCAAUGGAUUAACUUCAUAAUCCAAAAUGUAAGUCGAAUGUGCCAUGGGGGGUGGGGUUGAACUCAGUGUGCAAAGAGCCGGACCAAAUACUGAAAGGCAUCCAAUUCGACAUUCUUACUCUUGUACCAAUCCACUGGUACUGGUUUUUAUUGAUUUUGAGAGGAAGAAAAACAAAGUUGACCUCGGUGGUAUUUGAACACAGAUUGACAAGUGUUGGAACAAAUACUUUGAAAUAUCCUAUCCGUCGUUCUAAUGACUUUUGUUGAUUCGAGACCGCCACGAGAUUUGAACUCAGGGUGUAGCUGUUGUGGUUUGGAUGGUUGGAACAGCUGACGUCUCAAUCUUGCUAUGUCUUUGUUAUAUGACAUGACUGAGGAGUUACAAAGGUUUUGUAGGAAAUAUAACAUUAAAAUAUGGAAGCUUUUUGAAACGUUCUCACUGGAGUUGUCAUUAGAUUAACACUUGUAAAAGGGAGUUGGACGAAAGAAAGAAUUGAAUUGUAUGUGUAACACGCAUAUGUCGAAGAUCUUACAAAGCAGAGACAUGACGGUUCUUAAAAACCAUAAAAGAAAACUGUAGAAAUUCUGUGAUCAAAAGAGAAACAGCAAAGUUGGGAAUAACUGAAUAUGUAUAACUGAAUAUGUAUUGUGAGAAUGGAAAUUAUACAUCUCUAUGGAAUGAAGAUUCCAUUAUUGAAGGUGACGUAAGGUAAUAACAGAUCAAAAGAAUCGACACCGAAGCAAGCAACGGAAGGACUUCAGUACAGAUGCUCAAUGUUAAAAGUCGCAGCCAAAUUUACCUCGAAUUACCCUCAAAUCCCAUAAUACCGUCUUAAAAAUGGAGGAAAAGCAUAAAUGAGAAAAACAAUACAAAUUUAGUAUUCUAAUCACCAGAAUAUGAAGAAGUCAAAGGUGGCAAUGUACAAUGCCUAAUAUUUUGUCUCCCACCCUCCCCACUCUCUCUCUCUCUCUCUCUAUAUAUAUAUAUAUAUAUAUAUAUAUAUAUAUAUAUAUAUAUACACACACAUAUGUGUGUGUGUAAAUCUUUAUAUAUAAAAGUAAAGUUGUGUGUUGUCUGUCUCCUACGAUUUAGAUUCCUAACUACUCCCACAUUUUGGGGAGCAGUUUAACCAAAUUCGGGUAUCUUAUAGUCGUGAUUCAUAUCGAGCCCUUCUGGGUAUUAGCGCACGUCUGCGAUGAGUUUACGAUUUUAAAAAAAUUUACCAUAAAUUUUUCCCAUUUUUAAUGCAUUUUUGGCAUAUAUAAGUAACUUUCUAAAAGUUUAUUAUUAAAUCUCAGAACGUAAAAAGCUACAGUAACACCCCACCCCUUUGUGGUUAACAUAUUGAGAUGGCUAUUAUACUUUACAUCUCUAAAAAUGCUUACAUAGUUAUUUCCCUUACAAACCCGAGCAACGCCGGGCGAUACUGCUAGUAUAUAUAUAUUCCCUUUAAUUCUCUUAUUUCCCUCUAUAUUCCCUAUCUCCUCCUUGUCCAUAAUAAUUCCUUAUUUCGAACUCAAAUAUUUACCUCUACCUAAACAUCGCACAUCGCCUCUGAUGAAGAGAUAUCCAUAAUGUCCCAGAAACAGCGGUAAAACUAUAUCUAUAUCUUUUGGGUUAUGAAUGUCCUGAAAACUCCUCACAGCCUUGGCAUAGUUAUCUCAUUUUGUCUAAGAUAUAUAUAUGUGUAUAUGUGUGUGUGUAUGUAUAUAUAAAUUUUUAUAUAUACACAUGCUGAUAUAUGACCUACGUUGGACUCCUUAUUUGCAUAAUCACCGAACCUGGAGCUUAACUAUGUUCUACCCAUAGCACUUACUCACCAUUACCUGACACCUUUGGGUCUUACUGACACCAUUACCUCUCAUAACCUAUAUACAUAUAUAUUCACACACAUAUACACAUAUAUAUAUGUAAGUAUACGUGUGUGUGUGUAUGUGUGUGUGUGUGUGUGUGUGUGUGUGUGUGUGUGUGUGUGUGUGUGUGUGUGUGUGUGUGUGUGUGUGUGUGUGUGUGUGUGUUUGAUGUAUUGGAAAAGUACGAGAUUGUCAAGAUCGCGGAAGCAUCGCUAUUCAGGGCUGAUCAAAGAUUAAAAAAUAACAACAAUGAUAACCACAACAAAUUGAAAAUAAAUUCAGAUGCAAUACAAACUGCACAUAUUCUAUGCUGAGGAACCGUCUUUCACAUCUACGAAAGAAAAAAAAACACUAUUUGGGGAGUGGGUAGCUAGACAUGUUCAACAGAUGAUAUUUGUGUUUCACAUUGAAUUAAAGAAAUACAUAGCUAAACAAAACAAAAUAAAAAGUAGUCACACAUCUUACAGAUUCCUAUUGAAAUAAAUAUGGUGGUUGUUUAUCUAAUUCGACUUGCAGCGCUAGUCAAGAUGGUGCCAGAAAACAAUGACAUUGGUUAAAUGAAGGAUCACGAUUCCUUUCUAAAUCAGCAUUUCUGUAGCAAAAAGAAAACAAAAAGAGACUUUUUGAACAGCUUCAUUAAUCGUUUUGCCUACAGCAUUUUCAAACAGGGCAACCAAAGAAAUGUGUGUAUGUACGUAUGUAUAUAUAUAUAUAUAUAUAUAUAUAUAUAUAUAUAUAUAUAUAUUGUUCGUGUAUGUAUGUAGUGUGUAUAUAAGUACGCAUGUGGGCAUUAUUUUGCAUGAAUAUUUCUAUGGGAUGUGUGUGUGUGAGAAAGAGAGGGAGAGAGGGAGAGAGAGAGAGAGAGUGAGAGAUGAGAGUAAAAACAGUUUAGAAUUGUUUAUUGAUGCUUUCGAUUCAUAAUUUAAUUGGUUAUUUAUUCAUAUAUUUAUACACAUAAAAACUAUCAGAGGUUUAUCUUUAUCUGCAUACACAGCAUAUACCCGCACACACACAUGCACACAUGCACGCAUUCACACAAAUACGCGUGCGCACGCUCGUACUCACACGCAAAGAAACAAACACGUAAACAUACACUUACUGUCACACACACACACACACAAACACACACACAGAUAUAUACACAUAUACAUAAACACACAUACACAACACACAUUCACACGCACAGAUAUACAUAUGCACACACACACACGCACACACACUCACAGACUCAGACACACACACACGCACAGAUACACAUAGAAACAUACACACAGAUCCGCAUAAACAUACAUACAGACACGAACACACAAACAUUUAUACACGCUCACAUACACACACACACACACACACACAUACACCAAUGUUUGUAUGCGUGGAUAUAUGUUUUCAGAUAUAUAUCAAACUACAUUGAUUUAAAAUUUUAGCACAAGGCCAACAAUUUCAGGGGAGAGGUUAAAUCGAUUACAUCGACCCCAGCAUUCAACUGGUACUUAUUUUAUCGACCCGGAAAGGAUAAAAGACGUUCUAAUUUGACAUCAGAACGUAAUGAUGGACAAAAUGGCGCUAAGCAUUUUGUCCUGUGUGGUAACAGUUCUGACAGCUCGCUACCUUCAUUAUCGCAAUAAUAAACACACGCACUGCUUCUAUUUCACUUUCAUUAUUGUUAUUAGACCGUUUGCAUUUAGGUAAUUAGCUCAUCGAUCUUUUGCUUAAUCGUUCGGUCAAUCAGUCAAUCAGCUAUACCGGCUUAUUGUCGGCUUAUAGGGAUUGUCGGCUUCGUUUGUUGUACACAGUAAAGGUGAAAGGGGGAGAAGGAAGGAAGGAAGGAAAGAAGGAAGGAAGGAAGGAAGGAAGGAAGGAAGGAAGGAAGGAAGGAAGGAAGAAUAACCUAUGAAUACAUUAUGAAAAAGCUGUGAGCAGUGAUUUCGUUUGCAAUGCGAUGAACUGGCAAAGUCGUUAGAACGUCUGUAA
rnacentral:lncRNA from 1 species